ACCUCACAUAGUUACCUGUUGUGUGUGUAUGUGGUGAGAACAUUUAAGAUCCGUCUUAGCAAAUUUCACAUAUAUAAUAGUGUCUUAUUAACUGUAGUCACCAUGUUGGACAUUAAAUCUCCAAAACUUAUUCAUCCUGCAUAAGUGAAACUCUGUACCCUUCACCAACAUCUUCCCAUUCCUCCUACCUCCUAGCUCCUGGCAAACACCAUUUUACUUUCUGCCUCUAGUUCUACCUUUUUAGAUUUCACAUGUACGCGAGAUCACACAGUAUUUGUCUUUGUGUGCCUGACUCAUUUCACUUAGUAAAAUGUCCUCCAAGCUCAUCCAUGUUGUCCCAAAAGACAAGAUUUCCUUUUUUUUGAGAC
rnacentral:lncRNA from 1 species